GGCAACAAGCCAUUCCUCUAUACUUUACUGCAGGAUGACCAACGCCCCACGGAAGGGGUGGCAUGGGCUUCUGAGGGUCGAAAUCGAACGCAGCACGUCCCUUUUACCUUCGACUACGAGAACCACUCAGUAUCACGAGAACGCCGG
rnacentral:lncRNA from 1 species